ACCCGCUGAACUUAAGCAUAUCAAUAAGCGGAGGAAAAGAAACCAACAGGGAUUGCCUCAGUAACGGCGAGUGAAGCGGCAAGAGCUCAAAUUUUAAAUCUGGCACCAGCCCGAGUUGUAAUUUGAAGAGUUUGUCACGGCUGCGGCCUCGGUCCAAGUUUCUUGGAACAGAACGUCAUGGAGGGUGAGAAUCCCGUCAGACUGCUGGCCUACGCCAUGUGUGGCAUUAUUCGAAGAGUCGAGUUGUUUGGGAAUGCAGCUCAAAACGGGUGGUAGAUUUCCAUCUAAAGCUAAAUACUGGCGAGAGACCGAUAGCGCACAAGUAGAGUGAUCGAAAGAUGAAAAGCACUUUGAAAAGAGAGUUAAAUAGUACGUGAAAUUGUUGAAAGGGAAGCGCUUGCGAUCAGACUCGCCCGCGGUUGAUCAACGUUCCUUCUGGUUCGUGCACUCUGCCGCGGGCGGGCCAGCAUCGGUUGGGACGGCGGGACAAAGGCGCCGGGAAUGUGGCUCUUCGGAGUGUUAUAGCCCGGCGUGCAAUGCCGCCUGCCCCGACCGAGGUCCGCGCUUCGGCUAGGAUGCUGGCUUAAUGGUCGUAAGCAACCCGUCUUGAAACACGG
rnacentral:rRNA from 1 species